CGAGAAAGCGGGGGCAACCUCGUGAGUAAAGUGGCGUACGGGUGAGUAACACGUGGGUAAUCUACCUCUUGGUGUGGAAUAACGCUGGGAAACCGGCGCUAAUACCGCAUAAGCUCGGGAGAGGAAAGCAGCAAUGCGCCGAGAGAGGAGCCCGCGGCCGAUUAGCUAGUUGGUGAGGUAACGGCCCACCAAGGCAAAGAUCGGUAGCCGGCCUGAGAGGGCACACGGCCACACUGGCACUGAAACACGGGCCAGACUCCUACGGGAGGCAGCAGUGGGGAAUCUUGCACAAUGGGGGCAACCCUGAUGCAGCGACGCCGCGUGAGCGAUGAAGCCCUUCGGGGCGUAAAGCUCUUUCGACGGGAACGAUAAUGACGGUACCCGGAGAGGAAGCUGCGGCUAACUACGUGCCAGCAGCCGCGGUAAUACGUAGGCAGCAAGCGUUGUUCGGAAUUACUGGGCGUAAAGAGUGUGUAGGCGGUUCUCUAUGUUCGGUGUGAAAUCUCCCGGCUUAACUGGGAGGGUGCGCCGAAAACUGGAGGGCUUGAGUAUGGGAGAGGAAAGCGGAAUUCCUGGUGUAGCGGUGAAAUGCGUAGAUAUCAGGAGGAACACCUGUGGUGUAGACAGCUUACUGGACCACUUCUGACGCUGAGACACGAAAGCGUGGGUAGCAAACAGGAUUAGAUACCCUGGUAGUCCACGCCCUAAACGAUGCAUACUUGGUGUGAGCGAUUCAUUUC
rnacentral:rRNA from 1 species